rnacentral:misc_RNA from 1 species
AGAUCCCAAAGCGCGGAGAUAUUAAGUGCUUCGAAUAACUGACCCUGAUUCGCCGCGCCAUCGCCAUAAAGAGCAAAAGUAACAGUCUCAUCCUUGGAAUACUUCUGCGCAAAGGCUACUCCACAUCCAAGAGGAACCUGAGCCCCAACAAUACCAUGGCCGCCAUAGAAGCCAGCGUCCUUCUUAUAGAAAUGCAUAGAACCACCUUUACCUCUGGAGCACCCAGCCUGGCGGCCCAUUAGCUCCGCGAAAACCUCCAGAAGCGUUCCGCCA